rnacentral:misc_RNA from 1 species
CCUCAUAUGGUGCUUCCAUGAUGUCGGAGCAUGGGCAAGACUAUGAUUGGAUGAAUCAGCCUAUCGAUCCUCAGGUUGUGUAUGCUAGUGGAGGCGGAAAACCUCAUGGACGUUACCCCAUGUUUGGUAGUGUUAUCGACUCGACUCAGGUGAGGCCUGAAAGGUCUCGUCCAUCGAGGUCGUCUAGCCGUGGUCCUCGCUCUAGUACCCAAGGAAACGCCGAGCUGAUCCGGAUGCAGGAAGCUUUGAGGCGGCAGGAGGAGUAUAACAAGCAACAACAAGAGUACUGGGCUGCUCAAUUUGCACGACAGCAGGAGAUGAUGCAGCAAAUAGCACUAGGGCAACGUCCAGAUUUUUCAGCGAUGACUAUGCCACCUCCUCCACCUAUCCCGCAGUUUGUACCGACUCCACAAUUUAGUUGGCCCACACCUGCACCUCAGGUCCCUCCAGGAAACUUGCUAACUCCGGGAAAUGAGGACUCUGAAGAUGCGGUCGCUUCUUUUGUGGACGGUCUUCUAAACAGUGGAGGAGCUAGCGGAUCAAAUCAACCACAUCCAUUUGAUCAACCUCCUCCAUUUGAGUAGCC